rnacentral:rRNA from 1 species
UACGUAGGGGGCUAGCGUUGUCCGGAAUCAUUGGGCGUAAAGCGCGUGUAGGCGGUUCGGUAAGUCCGCUGUGAAAGUCGGGGGCUCAACCCUCGGAUGCCGGUGGAUACUGUCGGACUAGAGUACGGAAGAGGCGAGUGGAAUUCCCGGUGUAGCGGUGAAAUGCGCAGAUAUCGGGAGGAACACCUAUGGCGAAGGCAGCUCGCUGGGACGUUACUGACGCUGAGGCGCGAAAGCCAGGGGAGCGAACGGG